rnacentral:rRNA from 1 species
GUAGGUGGCAAGCGUUGUCCGGAAUUAUUGGGCGUAAAGCGCGCGCAGGUGGGUUCUUUAAGUCUGAUGUGAAAGCCCCCGGGCUCAACCGGGGAGGGUCAUUGGAAACUGGGGAACUUGAGUGCAGGAGAGGAAAGUGAAAUUCCACGUGUAGCGGUGAAAUGCGUAGAUAUGUGGAGGAACACCAGUGGCGAAGGCGACUUUCUGGCCUGUAACUGACACUGAGGCGCGAAAGCGUGGGGAGCAAACAGGAUUAGAUACCCUGGUAGUCCACGCCGUAAACGAUGAGUGCUAAGUGUUGGGGGGUUUCCGCCCCUCAGUGCUGCAGCUAACGCAUUAAGCACUCCGCCUGGGGAGUACGGUCGCAAGACUG